GGAUGAUUCUUAGCUUAACGGGAGAGCACCACAAGCGGAGGUCAACGGUUCAAAUCCGUUACCGUCCACAA
rnacentral:tRNA from 1 species